GAUGAAGAACGUAGCGAAAUGCGAUACGUAAUGUGAAUUGCAGAUUUCAGUGAAUCAUCGAAUCUUUGAACGCACAUUGCGCCCGCCAGUAUUCUGGCGGGCAUGCCUGUUCGAGCGUCAUUUCAACCAUCAAGCGCCUCGCUUGUGUUGGGGCCCUGCGGCUGCCGCAGGCCCCUAAAUCCAGUGGCGGGCUCGUCGUCGUACCGAGUGCAGUAAACAUCCCCGCUCAGGGAACCCGACGGGUGCCGGCCGUGAAACCCCCCUCCUCAAGGUUGACCUCGGAUCAGGUAGGAAUACCCGCUGAACUUAAGCAUAUCAAUAAGCGGAGGA
rnacentral:misc_RNA from 1 species